rnacentral:pre_miRNA from 1 species
UCUUACUGAUGAGCAAAGAAAGUGGUUGCUUAAGAUAGAGUCUACUCCUGGUGAAGAUGCUGUGAA